UUUAAUAAAUUAUAAGUAAUAAGAAGUUAUGUGUAUGAGAAUGUAUGCUGCGAACAUAACGAACCACUACUAUGUAGUAGGUAAUUACACAAACAUGGAGGGAUGUUGUUUGAAAAUUCUGUCUGCACGUCGCGAAUAACACUGUUGUCGCGCAGACUUGGAUCUAACCUAUUCCAACAAUGAGUGGAGUUGAAGGAGAACGAGCCCAUGAAUGCUGCAGACUUGUGCUGUGGAGUCAGGAGCAAGUACGAGGACGCCCUGGUGCGGUGAGAGUUGAAGUCACGUGACCACCGUAACUUGUUAUACAAAUAUUCAGGCACCCUUUUUUGUAUGAUACCAUAUAGGAGGCAAGCAAAGUGGAGAUGCCGACGGCUUGCUAAUUUUAAAAUAUUCGACUUAUUUAUGUAAGGUGUCACGUGACAUCGUGCAGGGAUAUUGUGGCAGUACCGUGCGCAAGCAUUUUGAACACGCUGAAGGAGACGUUGCGUUUUGCCAUAGAGACAGGGGCCGUAAACGGUGUCUGCAUAGUUUAGUUUAGAUAGAACUAAACUUUCACAUAAUUGUUCACGAACUUCAAGUUUUAUGUAUGGUCUUAUACGAUAAAGAACUUUUAAUCUAUAAAAACAGCUUGAUACUAAAUUUAAAAUGUGUUUCUCAAAGCGUAGGUUAGAGUCGAAAUUGAUGCCGA